rnacentral:misc_RNA from 1 species
UUAGGGAGUAGAAUAUUCUACACCAUGUCGAGGCUGAUACCUUUAGUAUCAGUCGCUCUUAUCACCUUUACGGGUGACAGAGCUUAAAGAUUAAAAAAACACGACUGCUUUUACCAAUUCCUGCCUGUUCAUUUGUUAAGGUGCGCCAUAGCAAAGACGCACCUUGACAACCGCAUAAAAAACACAAAUAUUAAAGAUAUCUAAUAAAUGAGUAAUACAAGUAUAAGUAAUACAAGUAUGAGUAAUACAAACAUUCACAAUUUUGAAUAAAUACAGAUAUUUUGCUAAGGUUAAACCUAACAAUUAGAAAGACAUAGAUUUUGAUUAC